rnacentral:rRNA from 1 species
UACGGGGGGGGCUAGUGUUACUCAUCAUUACUGGGUGUAAAGCGUAUGUAGGCGGUUUAUUAAGUUUAAAUUAUGACAAUCCAAGCAUAACUUGGAAAAUUUUUUUUAUACUGUUAAACUAGAGAUCUGAGGAGGAUAGCUAUAUUUCUGAAGUUUAGGGAUGAAAUCCUUAGAAGAUCAGGGGGAUAACCAACAGGCGAAGGCGGCUUUCCAUUAAGAUUCUGACGCUGAAGUUUCUUAAGCGUGGGUCGCAACGGG